rnacentral:rRNA from 1 species
UACAGAGGGGACAAGCGUUAUUCGGAAUUAUUGGGCGUAAAGGGCGCGUAGGCGGCCUGGCAAGUGGAAGGUGAAAUCCCUCGGCUUAACCGAGGAACUGCCUCCCAAACUGCUUGGCUUGAGACCAGGAGAGGUGAGUGGAAUUCCCAGUGUAGCGGUGAAAUGCGUAGAUAUUGGGAGGAACACCAGUGGCGAAGGCGGCUCACUGGACUGGUACUGACGCUGAGGCGCGAAAGCGUGGGGAGCAAACGGGAUUAGAACC